rnacentral:tRNA from 1 species
GUUGGGGAGGCCCAGUAGUUAAGGCGUUGGAAUAGAAAUGCAAUGCGAUCUUCCCGCGCAGGCCCGAAUCCUGCCCGCAACG